UACGUAGGGACCAAGCGUUGUUCGGAUUUACUGGGCGUAAAGGGUGCGUAGGCGGCUUGUCAAGUCAGUUGUGAAAUCUCCGAGCUUAACUCGGAACGGUCAACUGAUACUGUCAUGCUAGAGUGCAGAAGGGGCAAUCGGAAUUCUUGGUGUAGCGGUGAAAUGCGUAGAUAUCAAGAGGAACACCUGAGGUGAAGACGGGUUGCUGGGCUGACACUGACGCUGAAGCACGAAAGCUAGGGGUAGCAAAACGGG
rnacentral:rRNA from 1 species